UUCUUGGUAACCAAAUUUUCUUGGCAAAGCUUUUCUGCCAAUAUCAGUAUCUACAGGAACAGGAAUUGGGGGACAACAUUUGUUCUUUACAAACAGUGAAACUCCACCAAGAAGCGCCAAAACGCACACACAGGCUAGAGCAAUAAGAGCAAUAGGCAAUAUCCUACGUCUCUUCAGUUCGCCUUUUUUAUUGUUUGCAACUUUGGUUCUCAAAUUUGAAGAGAAUGCCCAUGAAUUGAUUUGGUUUCUCUCAAGAUACUGGCCAGUAGAUGCUGAGAAACCAAUGGAAACCCACUCAGGAAGAAGUUCCAUCAGAUCAAUGACAUAAGAAAGGGAAUUGUUGCCUGUAAAAACUAGAUUUUCAUCAUAAGUCCACAAAACACUCAGGUUCUUGGCAGUAGCAUUGUAACUUAUCCCAACUUUAGCAGUCUUGCCACUGUACGAGCCAGGAUCCCAUUUAGCAUAAACAGCAGAACGAAUCGAGUUAUUGUUGAUCCCAACAUGCUGCACUGGUGGAUCCCAUUCUUCAUUCACAAAGGUAUCAAACUCAGCCAUGACUAAUUGGUUUCGAGACGCAGCAUCACUUGUAGUGGUGUUAAAUAAUCCUAGGAACCCACCAGGUGAAUUGGUUGGAAUUGAGUUGCCCACAGAAGAAAGGAAAAAGACAAUGCCAUGGCCAUAGGUAUCAGCAUUAAGAGUAUCAAUAGUGAAGGAGAAAUUGGUAGUGAAAUCUGUAAGUGUCCUGGUAGAGGAGUCCCAUAGGUGCAGAGGCUCUACAUAAGUAGCACGGCCAACGUGACAUAACCACUUGAUCGAGUUCAUUUCAAUAGCUCCAACAAUUGGUGCGGCAUCACCUUCAUAGAUUAUGUUGUUUGCACCAGGAUCAAACCGAUCUAUACUGAAGGAAAGUGCUUGAGUAUAGUCUGCAUAAAAAUGGAGAAAGUGGGUAAUGGUGAUGAGAAAAAUUAUGCGAGUGUGAGAGCUCAUGUAAGGAAAACAAGUUGCUAGUUUGGCUGCAGACAUUGUUUUUGUAAUGAAUUAUCCAGCGAAUAAUUGUUAUAUAUAAUCAGA
rnacentral:misc_RNA from 1 species